AUGCUUGCAGAAUUCUGUCAUAACUUUGAGGAGGAAACCGGGCAGAUCGAGACUGGACUAGACCCCAUCAACUCCCCUGUAAAACACGAAACUGCCAUGAACGUGCUGCGACUGGAGGCUCGGCUUGCAAACGUCUUGGACUACAUCGCCAGCGUGAAAACCGCGAUGUCUCGGGUCGACAAGGAGCUCUGGCUACAGGUUGUGCAACAGAAUGACCUCGAGUUGCUGAUGACUCGACUCAACAUCAUCCCUGACCGAGUGCAAGCGUGGAAGAAGUCAGCUACACGAUGUGGUGCUGGUGUCACUUUAUCCCUUGUCUACGUUCACUGUAGGGAUGUCAAGGAAGAGAAGCUGAAGGAUCUCCAUGUAGCUAACACCAAGAAGCUUCAAUUCUAG
rnacentral:rRNA from 1 species